rnacentral:lncRNA from 1 species
GUUGUCUCUUCGCCGCCGCCGCAGCCUCUGCCCCACUCGUGAGGGAUCCGAGGGCUCCGUCCUUGUGCUGUCUUCGCCCCGGCUCCCAGGGGUCAAACGAGGGUCGGGGGUGGGGACACGCAGCCUAGCCACUGUCCUGCCUGGGAUCCGGUCUCCCCCGCCCCCCGGCUGCAGGGUGGAUAAAGAGGAAGAUGUGAAGAGGAGGCAGACAAAAGCAAAAGGACAUCCUGUCAGUAGGAAACGGCCGAAUUACAAUUCAGAUGUGCAAUGUUUGCAUAAGUAAACUGACACGGGACUAUUAUAUGCAGAAAUCCACGUGCAAAAAUUUUCAGACACACCUUUGUACCUCUUCCUAAUCCUGCCCUGGUAAAAUGGCGGUUAUCAGUGCAAGUUUGAGGAUACAUACAGCUGGAAAAUGGACAUCACCAAACUGGACUCCAGAAAGUUCUGUCUAGGAUUUUAUUAGACUGCUUUUUUUCUCAAUAUACCUGUAUUGGAAGAUUGAGACAAAAAGGCACAAACUCACAUUAAAUAAACAAGGUAAUCUAAUCAAUUCUACAAAGUGUAGUUUGUAAAACAAGUAGCACUAGGAACCAACCAAAGUAAGUCAGGGAGUCCCAGCAGGGACUGUAAAAGAACUUGGGAAGCUAUACACAUGCCCACGAUACUGACCCUGUCCCGGACCUCUCUGCAUGAGAAGGCCAGAGCCCAGCACCCCUCCUACAGAGGCACUGCUGCUUCUGUUGGGGCUGUGACCCUGGAAUUCUGAUGGAAGCAGCUGGUCUGAAGGGGCAUGGCACACACUCAGGUACUACCCCUGGAGCUGAACCUUUAUCAUAAGUCCCUCUGAGUGCUAGUCAGUUUGGAGGUGGGUGAGGAGGAAAGGGGGUACUUAAAAGAAGCCAACACUGUUGCCCAGCAGCAACACCAUCCGUGGGGAUGGAACAGACCAGGGACAUCCUCCUUUAUGUUUAUGUGGGCUGCAAUUCCAGAUCCAGGCUGACCUCAGCUCAUAAUGGAUGCUUUUCAACUGGGGCAACAGGUGGAGGUGGGAGGAGCCCUUGUUAGGGCUAAAGUGAUAUGUGUGGGUCUCAAGAGCCAAAGGAAGGAGACUAACAGCUGCUGACCCUCAGACCACAUAGACAACUGUCUGCCUAGAAUGUCAGUUUGUUUCUUUCAAGAUAACCCGCAUCUGGACUUCCCCUAGUUGAUGAAUGAAGGAACAUCUUUAAGCACAAAUAUAAUGAAUAGCUAACACAGAGCUUAUAGGAAAACACUGACAUUUUUCUCCAGUAGGAAUGCCUCUUCUCCAACUUUCCAAGUCAGAUAAAUGCUACCAGCAGUUGAGAUGCUACCCAGAUGCAUUACUAAAGACCCCUCAAGGUGAGGAGACUUACACAGAGGAAGGUGUCUGUAACAAGACAUCUGGUUCCAAAGGGACCUCAAUGAAGGUCAGCGCUAACCAUGCUGGGGGUCUGAGUCUGUCCACCCUUGCCCCAGGAGGGCCACAGGGAAGCAUCCAUCAGGAUGUCACAGGUGCAAUCCUGUGAGACACUCCCUUAUUGCACUUAGAAAUGAGUAAGGCAAACAAACUGACAAAAACAGGAUACAUUCUCCCACCCACUUCUUGCUUCCCGGACAAAGAUUUGGUCUCCCAUUAGCAGAUGCACCCAGGCUAGUGUGGGCUGGGAUCACGGCACACUUAGGCCAACGUGCUUCACAAGGUUUGGGGAAUGUCAGGUGACACUACAGCUCUCUCUCAUUCUCCCACUAAGAGGCAAACUCAGGCUCUGUCAAGUUGCAGGAAGCUAUGAACACUGGGCAGCGUCUGUUCCCCUGGAGCCUGGACUUCCUCACCAGCCUACUUUGGUCGGGUUCUGUACUAUGAUCACUACUUGCUUUGGGUUUUCCAGGGCAGAACUCAACAUGGGGGUAGGACGAGCUAAGUUCUUGAUCCCCAAAUUCCUUUCCGGCAACUGGAGACGAGGGAACAUGUUCUGCUGGAAAAAGCUUUUUGCAUGCUCAUAUUGUGCAGCAUGAAAGAUCAGGACUCUUGCUUCCUAACCAGCCUCAAAGACAGAGGACAGGGACCUAAGAAAGCACAGAGAAAAGAGGAUUAUUGCUGAGUGGCAGCACCAGCCCCAAAGGGAAGAGGAGGAGCAGGGACUUACAGAGCUCCUCGGGGUCAGACAGUUGGUAUCUAGGGGGUGACUCAAUUCUAGGGGCCACACUGGACAAUUCCCUCCAAGUGGAGAGUUGACUGGGGCGAUUUUGUAGACUGCAGAGAGAUUCAGAGCGGGCAACAGGAGGGCCAAGAAGCCACAGGUGUUUCUAAGAGUAGUAACUAGAGAUUCAGUGAUUGGGACAGGGUUACUCGUAUUUGUUAAAUUUUCUUAAAUAGAGACUGGCUGAGCCUUGGGUACCUCCAUAGUGCUAGAGUGCCCUAACGAUGGGUUACUGGGAGCAGAAGUCAGAGCUGCAAAACCACAUUGCUAUUUUGUGGAAGCGGUGCGGGGCAGGGAAACAUUGUAUCUUUAGCUCAUCCCCGCUCCCCACAGGAGCACUCAAAAUUGCGAAGAUCUUCCCAGGAAGCAAAAUACCUCAGUUUACCCCAAGGUUGAGAACAAAUGAACUUAAAUCAUUUAAAUCACCACAUCACAAAAGGCAGCUAUUUGAAAGACUGAAAAUGUCACUUGGAAAUAAAGGUUGGGGGAACACACAGAAAUGGAUCGGAACACAAUGGAGAGAGACGGAGGCGCUGUAACUACAGCAACCUACACGCCACGUAUCUCGGAGGAGCAGGCUCCUGCACACGCGGGCUCUGUGACACCAGACGGUCUAUUUGUUCACAAUACUGAAGGGCAUCUAGAAUUAGCUACAGUAAGGAAUCGAAAGUUGCCUGAAGAAUGGGCACAGAACGGCUGCGUCCGAAAAUGGCCUGUCACUUGGGAGGGUGGAGCUGCUGGGUCUUCCUGUUGACCACUGUCUUGCAAAACUAGAAGAAAAAUGAAAGUAUUAAGGAAGCAAGAGGAGAAAACAGAAACACUGUAAAUCGUCCUGAAUGGAUAAUUUCAAGAGGAGGAGGGAAGCCAGUGGGUGGGUG